rnacentral:misc_RNA from 1 species
UGUGGGAGGGGGCUUGCUCCCGAUGCAGUGUGUCAGUCGAUGCAUUCAUCACUGAUACCCCGUCAUCGGGAGCAAGCCCCCUCCCACA